rnacentral:lncRNA from 1 species
AAGAGAUGAACCCGAUGGGGGUAUUGAUGACAUAGAAAGUGGUGUUUAGUGUAAAAGAACACACGAGUGGCAUCCAAAAAUUAAAUGAUGACGAGUGGCAUUAAUAUAGUGUAUAUGACACUAGAGGUUUGAGAACCUAGGGAUAGGUGGGUCCCUUAGAAAAUGCCUUGUGAACAAUGAAUUUAGAAAAGCUAAAUAGCAUUGCAUGAAUGUCGGGAACAAAUGAUCCCGCGAGAGAUGUUAACUCUAGUUGUAGAGCAUCCUCACUUGGAGAGGAUUUGAUUGGGUUGUGGACCCUAGUUAUAGUGCUUCCUCACUUGGAGAGGAUUUGAUUGGGUUGUGACCCUAGUAGUAGGGUGUCCUCACUUGGAGAGGAUAGAUCUAGCUCACAGUCUGCGUUUGGGGUGGUAUAGCCAUCCUAUCCCCACAUGGAGGGGAUUGUCGUCGAGUACUCCGGAGUGUCGCGCGACUAGGACCACUUGGAGGUCCGGACCACAUGGAGGUCCGCAGACGGUCCCGGGCUUGGGUGCACUUGGAGCUCCCUCCCCACUUUGGGAUUGAAAGGUGAGUCAUGGGCGAGCCCUAGGGCCUCGCCACAGAUUGGGUAAAUGAAAUGUUAAAGGUUUAAAAUGUCAUUGAACAUUACUAUUCGAACAUGGAUCAAUUUGCUAGCAUGGUAGCCAACCUUUAUUAUAUGAUGCAUGCAUACAUAUUCAUGAUUAUGGGCAUAGUAGCAUAGUUUUCCUACUAUCGCAUUUACAGUUUUCAGAUACAUAUCUAUCUAUCUAUCUGUUUUUACUUGUGCCCACUUGGACCUAGUGGGGAGAUCGACAGAGCCGGCGGCCGAGCCCACUGGGAACUAUGGAAGAUAGUUCUCACCCCACUCUAUUUCCAGUGGUAGGUAUAGGAUUGCCGAGAGAGGACCGCGGCAAGGGCAUCGCGCCCGAUCAGUGAGACCGUGGUAGUAUAGUAGCUUUCCCUUUUGUGCAUUAGUACACCUAUGUAUUUGAGAGAUGCAUUGUAGGUGAGGAUUUGGAGAGCUAUGUAUUUUGGAUGAAAAAGAAUGUAUUCAUUUAAAGAAAAUGAUGUAAUGAAAAGAAUGGAACUAUUGUAUUAGCCAGUAAAGUACUCUCUUUAUUUCACAUGUUUAAUCUUGUGGAUUACUUGCUCUUAGUAUUGUUGGCACUGUUUGUGCCCUUGUGAGUGUGUAUAUUUAGAAUUUAAUUUUCUGGGUAAAUUCUUGUACACAUUCCUGUUGUUGAGCCUUGGGCGGACAGGGGAAGUGCUGUCCGUUCGGCAGUCCGCCGCCGCGGCCGAAUCGUGCCAAAUUGGUAGUGGUUUCGGGGCGGGGCGUGACAGUAUUUAAAUAUAAUGGUACAGUAAUAUUUUUUUUAAAUAAUAAAAACACUCCAAAGCAAAUGAGAUAAGUGAAUAAUUUGCAAGUAAACUAUAUACAAUUAGAAUUUGAAAAUGCUAAUCCCAAUUUAUUUAAAUUUGAGUGACAAGCAUACAAGCAGGUUGUCAAAUAGAAUUAUAUGCACUAUAUAUAUAUAAAUAUAAAUAUAUAUAUAUAUAUAUAUAUAUAUUAUAUAUAAAUAAAUAUAUAAUGAUAUAUAUAUAUAUAUAUAUUAAUGGAUUAGCACUCGUCAAAUUUAAUCACAAUCAGUUAAAAUCUGAUUGUGAAUAAAAUCCAAUUAAUUUUGUGAUAAAAUUAAUAAAUUUAACUUACAGAUGAUCGCUAAAUUUUAAAAAUAUUGUGGAAGAAGAAUGCCAAAUAAUUUGAUCCGGAAGCAUACGAAGUACUGCCCUAAGGCGUAUUCUCGUCCUUCAUGUGGGAUUAACCGGAAACACCGCCCCAAGGUACGAUUGGAACUUCCCUUCCUACGAGCACGAACGCGGAAGAGAUUGACGGAGAUUCUUUCAACACCCGAUGACAAAAGGAUCAAACCAAAUAGAUCAAAAUAAUAGAGGAAAAUAAAAUAACUCUCAAUAGUUUCUUUCUCUGACUUUCCAUUUGUUUUUUCCUCUUUCAAAACAAUCUUUCUCACUAUCAUGUAUAUCCCAUGAACAGUGAAGCUUUUAUAAUAAAAAGAGGGUCAAAUUAGAACGUUGGCAACGUUCUAAAGGUGCAACGGUCGUGCGCCUCUGUAAUAUACCGAACUUCUACAACUAUGAAAUUUUCGGUGGGAACUAGAUUGAGAAGCUGUUAGUAUAGUUCUGGUGAAGUUCGGGAGCAUUCGAGUGUUUUCGGUGCGAGUUGGGCACGAAAACGGAACUCAAAAAGCUAUAUUGGACUUUGGCCUAAAUCCGGCAAAGUAUAAGUGAGAGGAUGGUUUAAACACGCUAAAAAAUGUGUUUUGAGGAUUUUGGAAUGGCUGGAAACAUAUUAGAGGCUCUGUAAGGAAGUGAAUUCUCGAAAUCCGAUAGUUGUACUUCGUCCAGGAUCGACUAUCUGUCGAGAGAAUACCCUUUGUGGGAGUCAAAAAUGUCCAAAGUACAAAAAGUGCCUUGGAGUUGAGUCCGCGAGAGCAAUGGUGCAAACUGCAUCAUUGGGCUAAGAUUACUCUCAGGGACCGGUCUCUGGAGGUGAGAGACCGGUUCCAUUGGCUAGGUGCACCGGGGUUGCUUGGUGCAACCGGUCCCUGGCAGGGAGGGACCGGUUCCCGAACGUGGUCCCAGCGAAAAAUGCCGAAAUUUGGCUAAGUCCUGAAAAUCGAGCUCUCGGGGACCGGUCUCUCAGGCGAGGACCGAUCUCCCGAGGACCGGUCUCCCGGGCAGAGACCGGUUCCCGAACGCGUGCGCCCGAAGGAGGCCCUCGGGGACCGGUCCUAAGUCGGGGAGACCGGUCCCUCCGCGCGGAUUCUGCCCAGUAAGGGCAGAGGAUUGGAUUGGGUUGUUGACCCUAGUAGUAGAGUGUCCUCACUUGGAGAGGAUAGAUCUAGCUCACAGUAUGUGUUUGGGAUGGUAUAGCCAUCCUAUCCCCACAUGGAGGGGAUUGUCGUCGAUUACUCCGGAGUGUCGCGCGACUAGGACUACUUAGAGGUCCGGACCACAUGGAGGUCCGCAGAUGGUCCCGGGCUUGGGUGCACUUGGAGCUCCCUCCCCACUUUGGGAUUGAAAGAUGAGUUUUAGGCGAGCCCUAGAGCCUCGCCACGGAUUUGGUAAAUGAAAGGUUAAAGGUUUCACAAUGUCAUUGAACAUUACUAUUCGAACAUGGAUCGAAUUUGUUAGCAUGAUAGCAAACCUUCAUUAUAUGACGCAUGCAUUCAUAUUCAUGAUUAUGGGCAUAGUAGCAUAGUUUUUCCUACUAUCGCAUUUACAGUUUUCAGAUAUCUAUCUACCUAUCUAUCUGUUGUUGCUUGUGCCCACUUGGACCUAGUGGGGAGAUCGGCAGAGUCGGCGGCCGAGCCCACUAUAAAUUAUGGAAGAUAGUUCUCACCCCACUCUAUUUCCAGUGGUAGGUACAGGGUUGCCGAGGGAGGACCGCGGCAAGGGCAUCGCGCCCGAUCUGUGAGGCCGUGGUAGUAUAGUAGCUUUCCUUUUUGCAUUAGCACACCUAUGUAUUGCGAGUGAUUCAUUGUAGAUGAGGAUUUGGAGAGCUAUGUAUUUUGGAUGAAAAAUGUAAUCAUUUAAAGAAAAUGAUGUAAUGAAACUAUUGUAAUAGUUAGUAAAGUACUCUCUUUGUUUCAUAUGCUUUAUCUUGUGGAUUACUUGCUCUUAGUGUCGUUGGCACUGUUUGUGCCCUUGUGAGUAUGUAUGUUUAGAAUUUAAUUUCCUGGAUAAAUUCUUGUACACAUUCCUAUUGCUGAGCCUUGGGCGGACAAGGGAGGUGCUGUCCGUUCGGCGGUCCCCCGGCGCGCCCGAAUCGUGCCAAAUUGGUAGUGGUUUCGGGGCGGGGCGCGACAGUGUUGGUAUCAGAGCAUAAGAGCAAGUAAAGAGAGAAAGUCUAGGAUGACCUAGGAGACCCUAGGUUGGUAAGCCCUAAGGUUAUAAGUGCAUGAGCGGAACGUGAACCUAUAACGAUGGCGGAAGUCGAUUCGAUUGGGUCGAAGUUGGUUAUAUGUCUCUAGUUGUGACUGGAGAUGGACUCAAAUGAUAUUAGUUCUUGAUUUGAGGUGGUUGUGUCGGCGGCCGACGACAUGGUACCGAGAGUCUAGAACGAGUACGCUUGUGUGCUUCCGCCCGAUUCUGUUGUUGAGUCGUCAUGUGUCGUAAUUUCUACGAGGUAAUUGGUUAAGAUGACUGACCAGGUAUCUGCGUUUCAGGGACUAAUGUCUCCAAGACGCUACACACGUAGAUCUACUCCGGCACCGACUCCUGUGGUCCCCGAGCAGGGUGAACCGAGCGUGAUCAAUCUGUUGCAAGCGCAAGUGGCCGCGCUGACCAAUGUGGUGCAGCGCCAGGAGACCAGAUUCGAGCGGCUCCAGGAGCUCUUGGAGCGGCAGGUGGCGGUAGCGGCCGCAACGGCAACGGACGGACGCGAUGUGCCCGCGCCCUCGACUCGCGUACCUGAGCCAGCUGAGGGUGAGGGUAUAGCGGCGGUCCCGGUGGCGGUGCGUCCCCCACCGGCGAUCGUCACACCGACGGCGUCGGGAUUGGCUACACCCAAUGUGACGGCCGAGGAUGUGGAAGGAGAGCGCGCAUUGGCGGCUCUUAUCAAGUUCAACAAGUUCCAUCCGCUAGCCUUUGAGGGCGAGAAGGUAGAACCGGCAAUGGUCGAGUCUUGGAUCAACUCGAUGGAAACCCUCUUCGAAGACUUGCACACUUUGGAGAGAGACAAAGUGUACCUCGCCACCCAUUGCUUAGAGAAAGCGGCGAAGGUUUGGUGGAAGCACGUCAAACGGGAUCGGCUUCCCGGCCUUCCGCCGAUGUUGUGGGAGCGGGAGAUGUUCGCCAACUAUUUCCCCGAUACAUUGAAGCGGAAGCUCAAAGAGAAGUUCCGCAAGCUAGAGCAAGGGGAUCGUUUAGUGGCGGAGUAUGAACAAGAAUUCUCCCAUAUCAUAGACUGUGUCCCAAAUGUUGUGAAGGACGACCGGGACCGGGCCGAGUGGUUCUUGCAAGGACUUCGGCCGGGAAUCUACAAGGCCGUGCAAAUACUUAAACUCUCGACCUUUGCGGAGGUCUUUGAUCGAGCCCUAUGGGCAGAGCACGGAGAUGCCCGCGUUCGGGAGAAGCGUGAGCUUUUGGCGGAGUCCAAGGACAAGGGCAAGAAACGCCAGGGCGGCGGUAGUUCGGGGGGACAAACACGUUACAAGAAACCCCCGAAGUAUCCGCGCACUCAACAGAAGGGCGGUGGAGCGCGACGAUGCAUUGUAUGCGGCGGAGACCACCCAGUCUUGCACUGUGAGCAAGGCCGAGGCAAGUGCUACAAGUGUGGGCAACCGGGGCACUUCAUUCGGGACUGCCCGGGAGGAGGAGCCUCACCCGCCCCAUCGAUUGCAUCGGUGCCGGCGAUUCCGGCUCAUUAUGGAGGAGCUCCACCGACGGCCGCGUCGACGGGACGUGUGAUGACGCCGCGUCAACAUGAAGUGGCGCGAUCGGCCCUGAGCGGACGGGUAUUCGCCGCUCAGGUCCAAGCCGAGAAACCUGUGGAGGUAGAGGAGCAUCGCAUUGUGGCAGGUAUGGUUUUGAUUAACAGAGUUCGCUCCAGGGCUUUAUUUGAUACAGGAGCCACGCAUUCAUUCAUAAGUAGAUCAUUCGCACGCAUGCAUGACAUCCUCAUAGAAGCGAGUGACAAGUGGCGAGUGGAGGGCCCUGGGUCGACGUUUAACACUUACUCGGAGUGUGCGUCGUGUCCCGUACAAAUAAGCGACUGGAUUAUGCCUAUUCGAACGCUAGAACUCCAGAAGUUUGAGGCUUACGACGUCAUUCUAGGCAUGGACUGGCUCUCGAAAUACCACUCAACGAUCGACUGCAAGAGCAGCGUGAUCACAUUCCGUGAGCCAGGACAAGAAAAAUUCACCUAUCGGGCUUGUCAGAGCUCGUGCUUUGUCGCGACAGUGUCGGCGACAAGAGCAAGAAGGUUGGUGAGCAACGGCUGUGCGGCGUUCUUGGCGACCGUUGUGGAGGUGGAUCGACUAGCCCUAACAUUAGAAGAGUUGUCAGUGGUGCGGGAGUUCCCGGAUGUGUUUCCUACGGAGUUGCCGGAGAUACCACCGGAUCGGGAGAUUGAGUUCGUCAUAGACUUGGUUCCCGGUACCACGCCGAUCUCGAAGGCUCCGUAUCGAAUGGCGCCGGCGGAAUUGAAAGAAUUGAGGAGUCAACUGCAAGACCUCCUCGACAAGCAAUUUAUCCGGCCAAGUGUAUCACCGUGGGGAGCCCGGGUGUUGUUUGUACGAAAGAAGGAUGGAUCGUUUCGACUCUGCAUGGAUUAUCGAGAGUUGAAUAGAGUCACGAUCAAGAACAAGUACCCACUACCCCGAAUCGAUGACCUGUUCGAUCAGUUGCAAAGGUCGUGCGUGUACUCGAAGAUAGAUUUGCAGUCCGGCUAUCACUAGUUGAAAAUCAACCCGGAGGAUGUGCAGAAGACCGCGUUCCGCAAGCAGUAUAGACAUUACAAAUUCACGAUCAUGCCAUUUGGACUCACGAAUGCUCCAGCAGCAUUCAUGGAUUUGAUAAACCGUGUCUUCAGAGAGUGUUUAGACCGAUUUGUCGUGGUCUUUAUAGACGACAUAUUGGUCUAUUCGCGCAGUGACGAGGAACAUGCCGAGUAUUUGAAAUAGUGCUUCAACUCCUUCGGGAGGAGAAGCUAUAUGCUAAGCUGAAGAAGUGUGACUUCUGGCUUCGCGAGGUCGCCUUCUUAGGGCAUGUGAUUUCCGUGGAUGGAGUUUCUGUAGACCCGAGGAAAGUUGAGGCAAUCAAGGAUUGGCGGCGCCCGACAAAUGUCACGGAGGUUCGAAGCUUCGUGGGCUUAGCGGGCUAUUAUAGGCGGUUUGUGGAAGGCUUUUCCAAGAUAGUAAUUCCACUUACCCGCCUGACUCAGAGAGGCACCAAGUUUGUUUGGAGCGAAGAGUGCGACCGGAGUUUCAAAGAGUUGAAGCAGAGAUUGACUUCGACUCCGGUGCUCGCUCUACCGGUGUAGGGCGAAGACUUUGUAGUCUACAGCGAUGCCUCCUAUCUUGGAUUGGGGUGUGUAUUGAUGCAAAACGGGAAGGUGAUUGCUUAUGCAUCCCGUCAGCUGAAGAGCUAUGAGAAGAACUAUCCCAUCCAUGAUUUGGAGUUAGCGGCGGUGAUCUUCGCCUUGAAGCUAUGGAGGCACUACCUAUAUAGUGCCCAUUGUGAGAUUUAUACCGACCACAAGAGCUUGAAGUACCUGUUCACACAGAAGGAGCUCAACAUGCGUUAGCAGCGGUGGUUAGAAUUGUUAAAGGAUUAUGACGUUGAUAUCCUCUAUCACCCCGGGAAGGCAAAUGUGGUAGCGGAUGCACUUAGUAGGAAGUCGGCAAAGAACCUCGCUUUCGAUGUUACCCAGCAAACACCCUUAUGGCUGGAUAUGGAGCGAUUGGACCUUGAAGUGGUCGCUCCCGAGGUCCCGACUCAGUUGAUGGCACUCGUUGUCCAACCGACCUUGUUAGAGAGAAUCAAAGAUCUGCAACCCGCAGACCCAGAACUCUAAAAGGUGCGGCGAAACAUCGAGGAAGGGCAUGGCGACGAUUUCAAGGUAGACGCCGAUGGUACGCUUCGGUUUCGAAACCGAUAGUGUGUACCGAAAGAUGGAGAGCUUCGUGAAUUGAUUCUACAAGAAGCACACCGAUCUCCAUAUGCUGAUCACCCGAGUGGCACCAAGAUGUAUCAAGGCCUAAAAAUGCACUACUGGUGGCCGAAAAUGAAGGGUGAUAUUGGACGCUUUGUGGCGAAGUGCUUAACAUGCCAACAAGUGAAGGUCGAGCGUCGAUUUUCAGCGGAAAAACUUCAAAGCCUACCAAUUCCCGUUUGGAAAUGGGAAGAUAUAUCGAUAGACUUCGUGGUCGGCUUGCCUCGCUCAACGGGCGGCCACGAUGCAAUUUGGGUAAUUGUGGACCGAUUGACGAAGUCGACUCACUUCUUGCCGAUCCACACCACGUGGUCCGGUGACAAGUUAGCGCAGGUGUACCUCGAUGAGAUAGUGAGACUGCAUGGGGUGCCGAAAUCGAUCGUGUCGUAUCGUGACCCCCGGUUCACUUCACACUUUUGGAAGAGCCUGCAGGAAGCCCUUGGCACACGGCUCGACUUCAGCACCGCAUUUCAUCCUCAGACCGAUGGGCAAACAGAGAGAACCAUUCAAACUCUGGAGGAUAUGUUGCGAGCGUGUGUCAUCGACUAUAUGGGAAGUUGGUGUGAUCACCUACCGAUGGCCGAAUUCGCCUACAACAACAGUUAUCAUGCUAGUGUGGAGAUGGCACCGUUCGAGGCCCUCUAUGGGCGAGCAUGCCGAUCUCCUAUACACUGGAGCGAUGUGGGUGAGCGUGCAGAGUUCGGUCCCGAUGUGUUGCGAGAAGCGGAGGAGAAAGUCCACCUUGCUCGCAAGAGAUUGCUCAUGGCACAGUCGAGACAGCAAAGCUAUCCGGACAGGCGCCGUCGAGAUAUAGAGUUCGCGGUGGGUGACCGCGUAUUCUUGAAGGUUUCACCGAUGCGGGGUGUGAAGCGGUUUGGAGUGCGGGAAAAAUUAAGCCCCCGGUAUAUUAGACCAUAUGAGAUAUUGGAGCGAGUCGGCACAGUGGCUUACCGACUUGCUUUGCCGCCGAAGCUCGCGGAUGUACACAAUGUGUUCCACGUCUCUAACCUCCACAAGUAUAUUCACGACCCCGAGCAUGCGAUGUUAUAUGAACCGCCGGAACUUCAAGGAGACUUGAGCUAUGAAGAGUUUCCGGUAGGAAUUAUCGCCCGGAAGGUGCAAAAAUUGAGGAAUCGAGAAAUUCCCUAUGUAAAGGUCAGGUGGAGCAAUCACGAUGAUCGCAAGGCCACCUGGGAACUCGAGGAUCUAAUGAGAAAGCACCAUCCUCAUCUAUUCGAGGAGUAAGGUAAGAAUUUAAGUUAAAGUAAAGAAUCGAGUUAGUUUCGAGGACGAAACUCCUUUUAAGGAGGGGAGGAUGUAAGGAAGUGAAUUCUCGAAAUCCGAGAGUUGUACUUCGUCCAGGAUCGACUAUCUGUCGAGAGAAUAACCUUUGUGGGAGUCAAAAAUGUCCAAAGUACAAAAAGUGCCUUGGAGUUGAAUCCGCGAGAGCAAUGGUGCAAACUGCAUCAUUGGGCUGAGAUUACUCUCGAGGACCGGUCUCUGGAGGUGAGAGACCGGUUCCAUUGGCUAGGUGCAGCGGGGUUGCUUUGUGCAACCGGUCCCUGGCAGGGAGGGACCGGUUCCCGAACGUGGUCCCAGCGAGAAAUGCUGAAAUUUGGCUAAGUCCUGAAAAUCGAGCUCUCGGGGACCGGUCUCUCAGGCGAGGACCGGUCUCCCGAGGACCGGUCUCCCGGGUAAAGACCGGUUCCCGAACGCGUGCGCCCGAGGGAGGCCCUCGGGGACCGGUCCCAAGUCGGGGAGACCGGUCCCUCCGUGCGAAUUUUGCCCAGUAAGGGCAGUGUAUAGGAUUAAAAGUUGAGGGUUUUUAUGCAAAUGGCAUUAGUUAGGGGGGGAUUAGAGAGGCUGAGCCCUCUUCCUCUCUCACUCUCACACACACUCUCUCCCUCUCAUAUUUUCUCUCCCUCUCUCUCUAGAAGGAGCAAAAGAGAAUGAGGAGAAGAAAGUGAAGAAGAAGAAGAAGGAAGGGAAGAAGAAGAAGAAGGCUUGGAGCAUCUUCCUCUCUUUCUCUCCUCUCCAUUGGUGUAGCUCAAGAGGUAAGCGACAAACCCUAGCUUGUAAAACUUAGGGUUUUUGGGUUUUGAUGCUUUGAAUGGGUCAAAUGGACCCUAAGCAAGCUUCUAAAUUGAUAAAUCCCAAGAAUCUAGGGAUUUAUUUGGUGGUUUGCUAUGGGUGCAAACCUAGAGCUCCAAAAUGGGAUUUUUGGUAAAGUAUGAGAUUGAUCUCAUUUGAAGCCUUGAAAACCUAAUUGCUAGGUCGCAAAAUGUGGGGGCGAAGUCGGAAUUAGCAUUCGGCGAGCCGGUGUGAAGUUAUCAGCAAAACGAGGCCGAUCUAGCAUUGUCUUGGACAAGGAAGGCUAAAGCCUUUUCAUAAAGUACGCCGCGAAGAAUUUCCUAAGCCUCUACAUCGAUAAAAGGUGGGGGGGUGGCCAUCCCGAAGCUUUCGAACUCCUUUCUAUGUAUUAGAUUGCAUUUAAUCUCAUCUCUUACAUGUUGCAUUGUAGGAUUGCAUAGUAGCUCCAUUCCUUAUGCUUUCUAAUUGAUAACCUGUGUACUUGGAACGCUUGGUAACUUAGAUAGGUGAGGAUUGGGUCGGAACGUGGAUCCUAUGAUGCUAAAGAUAGAGAUGAACCCGAUGGGGGUGUUGAUGACAUAGAAAGUAGUGCUGUUGUCAAAGAACAAAUGAGUGGCAUCCAAAUAUUAAAAGAUAACGAGUGGCAUUAAUGUAGUGUAAAUGACACUAGAGGUCGAUGGACCUAGGGAUAGGCGGAUCCCUUAGAAAAUGCCGUGUGAACAAUGAAUUUAGAAAAACUAAAUAGCAUUACAUGAGUGUCGGGAACACGUGAUCCCGCGAGAGAUCUUGACUCUAGUUGUAGAGCAUCCUCACUUGGAGAGGAUUUGAUUGGGUUGUGGACCCUAGGUAUAGUGCUUCCUUACUUGGAGAGGAUUGGAUUCGGUUGUUGACCCUAGUAGAGUGUCCUCACUUGGAGAGGUAGAUCUAGCUCACAGUCUGCGUUUGGGUUGGUAUAGCCAUCCUAUCCCCACAUGGAGGGGAUUGUCGUCGAGUACUCCGGAGUGUCGCGCGACUAUAACCACUUGGAGGUCCGGACCACAUGGAGGUCCGCAGACGGUCCCGGGCUUGGGUGCACUUGGAGCUCCCUCCCCACUUUGGGAUUGAAAGAUGAGUUUUAGGCGAGCCCUAGGGCCUCGCCACGGAUUGGGUAAAUGAAAGGUUAAAGGUUUCACAAUGUCAUUGAACAUUACUAUUCGAACAUGGAUUGAAUUUGUUAGCAUGGUAGCAAACCUUCAUUAUAUGACGCAUGCAUUCAUAUUCAUGAUUAUGGGCAUAGUAGCAUAGUUUUUCCUACUAUCGCAUUUACAGUUUUCAGAUAUCUAUCUACCUAUCUAUCUGUUGUUGCUUGUGCCCACUUGGACCUAGUGUGGAGAUCGGCAGAGUCGGCGGCCGAGCCCACUGGGAACUAUGGAAGAUAGUUCUCACCCCACUCUAUUUCCAGUGGUAGGUACAGGGUUGCCGAGGGAGGACCGCGGCAAGGGCAUCGCGCCCGAUCUGUGAGGCCGUGGUAGUAUAGUAGCUUUCUUUUUUGCAUUAGCACACCUAUGUAUUGCGAGAGAUUCAUUGUAGGUGAGGAUUUGGAGAGCUAUAUAUUUUGGAUGAAAAAUGUAAUCAUUUAAAGAAAAUGAUGUAAUGAAACUAUUGUAAUAGUUAGUAAAGUACUCUCUUUGUUUCACAUGCUUUAUCUUGUGAAUUACUUGCUCUUAGUGUCGUUGGCACUGUUUAUGCCCUUGUGAGUGUGUAUGUUUAGAAUUUAAUUUCCUGGAUAAAUUCUUGUACACAUUCCUGUUGCUGAGCCUUGGGUGGACAGGGGAGGUGCUGUCCGUUCGGCGGUUCGCCGGCGCGUCCGAAUCGUGCCAAAUUGGUAGUGGUUUCGGGGCGGGGCGCGACAGGCUCAAGGAGCUAAAACAAAGAAUUUGGAAAAUGCUGAAAUUCUGGGGCUAUUGGACCUACGGGCUCCGGACCCUAGAUCCAAGGUCUGA